GACGAACGCUGGCGGCGUGCUUAACACACGCAAGUCGAGCGAUGAAGUUCCUUCGGGAAUGGAUUAGCGGCGGACGGGUGAGUAACACGUGGGUAACCUGCCUCAUAGAGGGGAAUAGCCUUUCGAAAGGAAGAUUAAUACCGCAUAAGAUUGUAGUAUCGCAUGAUACAGCAAUUAAAGGAGUAAUCCGCUAUGAGAUGGACCCGCGUCGCAUUAGCUAGUUGGUGAGGUAGCGGCUCACCAAGGCGACGAUGCGUAGCCGACCUGAGAGGGUGAUCGGCCACAUUGGGACUGAGACACGGCCCAGACUCCUACGGGAGGCAGCAGUGGGGAAUAUUGCACAAUGGGGGAAACCCUGAUGCAGCAACGCCGCGUGAGUGAUGACGGUCUUCGGAUUGUAAAACUCUGUCUUCAGGGACGAUAAUGACGGUACCUGAGGAGGAAGCCACGGCUAACUACGUGCCAGCAGCCGCGGUAACAC
rnacentral:rRNA from 1 species